rnacentral:tRNA from 1 species
GCGGAUGUGGCGUAAUUGGUAGCCGCGCCAGACUUAGGAUCUGGUUUCGUAAGAAGUAUGGGUUCGAGUCCCUUCAUCCGCA